rnacentral:rRNA from 1 species
AUGGAGUAUCAGCCAAUCAUCUCUGCACUCGACGUCCGCACCGAGCCUAUCACCGUCGACGCGCUCUUCUUGAUGGUGGCAAACUUCGAUCAACGUGUUGAGAUGUUCAAUGACAAUGGUGGCUUCAAGUCAUCGGUGAAUGCUGCCUCCAGGGGUCGCUUGGGUGGCUGCAGAGGCGGCUACCACAACCAGAAG